UGGGGAAUUUUGGACAAUGGGCGAAAGCCUGAUCCAGCAAUGCCGCGUGUGUGAAGAAGGCCUUCGGGUUGUAAAGCACUUUUGUCCGGAAAGAAAUCCUUGGCUCUAAUACAGUCGGGGGAUGACGGUACCGGAAGAAUAAGCACCGGCUAACUACGUGCCAGCAGCCGCGGUAAUACGUAGGGUGCAAGCGUUAAUCGGAAUUACUGGGCGUAAAGCGUGCGCAGGCGGUUUGCUAAGACCGAUGUGAAAUCCCCGGGCUCAACCUGGGAACUGCAUUGGUGACUGGCAGGCUAGAGUAUGGCAGAGGGGGGUAGAAUUCCACGUGUAGCAGUGAAAUGCGUAGAGAUGUGGAGGAAUACCGAUGGCGAAGGCAGCCCCCUGGGCCAAUACUGACGCUCAUGCACGAAAGCGUGGGGAGCAAACAGGAUUAGAUACCCUGGUAGUCCGCGCCCUAAACGAUGUCAACUAGUUGUUGGGGAUUCAUUUCCUUAGUAACGUAGCUAACGCGUGAAGUUGACCGCCUGGGGAGUACGGUCGCAAGAUUAAAACUUAAAUGAAUUGACGGGGUCAUAGCUGUUUCCU
rnacentral:rRNA from 1 species